GAUGAAGAACGCAGCGAAAUGCGAUAAGUAAUGUGAAUUGCAGAAUUCAGCGAAUCAUCGAAUCUUUGAACGCACAUUGCGCCCGCCAGCACUCUGGCGGGCAUGCCUGUUCGAGCGUCAUUUCAACCAUCAAGCCCCCAGGGGCUUGUGCUGGGGCCCUGCGGCUGCCCGCAGGCCCUGAAAACCAGUGGCGGGCUCGCUAGUCACACCGAGCGCAGUAGCACAUCUCGCUCAGGGCGUGCGGCGGGCUCCUGCCGUGAAACCCCCCACUGUAACCCCAAAGGUUGACCUCGGAUCAGGUAGGAAUACCCGCUGAACUUAAGCAUAUCAAUAAGCGGAGGA
rnacentral:misc_RNA from 1 species